rnacentral:sRNA from 19 species
AUUAACGUGAAGUAACACUUAUUAACGCUAAUAGCGAUGAAGAAUUUCUUAACUAUCUCUAUUAUUUACUAUGUAGGUUACAUCAUAUGAACCUCAGGACAUUUCUCCUUCAACCGAAACUGUUUUUUACAGAUUCGUUGUUCUACGCAAUGAUCACCCCAAUCAUUGCGUAUUUUUUUGCUUAAACAUUUUA